GUAGGUGGCAAGCGUUGUCCGGAAUUAUUGGGCGUAAGGCGCGCGCAGGUGGGUUCUUUAAGUCUGAUGUGAAAGACCCCCGGGCUCAACCCGGGGAGGGUCAUUGGAAACUGGGGAACUUGAGUGCAGGAGAGGAAAGUGGAAUUCCACGUGUAGCGGUGAAAUGCGUAGAUAUGUGGAGGAACACCAGUGGCGAAGGCGACUUUCUGGCCUGUAACUGACACUGAGGCGCGAAAGCGUGGGGAGCAAACAGGAUUAGAUACCCUGGUAGUCCACGCCGUAAACGAUGAGUGCUAAGUGUUGGGGGGUUUCCGCCCCUCAGUGCUGCAGCUAACGCAUUAAGCACUCCGCCUGGGGAGUACGGUCGCAAGACUG
rnacentral:rRNA from 1 species